rnacentral:lncRNA from 1 species
CGUUCGAUCACGGGUUUGGAUCAAAUAUAAAAUAAUGCUUAUAUUUUAAUUCGGUUAUAAACCACAUAUGUACCUCACUAAAAUGAUUUAAAUAAUUUGUAAAAAUAAAAUAUAUUCUUCGCACUAUUUAAAUGUAGAUGCACUAUUAGUCCUCAUUAUUUGAUUUUAGUUUGGGUAUUUUGGUUUUAGGUGUUCUGAUUAUAAAAUUUAGAAACUGUUCAGGUAUUUACAAAGUUUGGUUUGGUUUCAGUUGGGUUAUUUAGGUAUUUGGCUAGGUUUAGUAGCAAAGUUGUAAACGACUAAUUUGCAAAAAGAUAUGGGUCCGAUUCAAUUCCUGUUUGAUUCUGAUUUUUUGGGUAAUUUAUAAAUAAAAAAAUCAAAUAAUUUGAGGUUUUUCAGUUUAGAUAUCAAGUAAUUUGGAUUGUUCGGAUAAAAAAAGGAUAAUUUAAAUAUUUUGAAUAAAAAAUAUUCGGGUAAUUUGUUUUUCCAGGUAAUUUGAUUUAUAAAUAGUAUUGUUAGGGUAUUUGGUCAUU